AUGCCAUUUGGACUCUCAAAUGCACCAAGUACCUUUAUGCACUUGAUGAAUCAAGUCCUUCGACCCUUCUUAUCCCACUUUGUUGUGGUCUAUUUCGAUGACAUCUUGAUCUGUAGCAAGGAUGAGGAUGAACACUUUGAUCACAUUCGAAAGGUGCUAGAAGCACUAAGGAAAAAUGAGCUCUACGUCAACUUAAAGAAAUGUGUUUUCCUGCAAACACAACUUCUUGUCCUAGGAUUCAUCAUAACAUGUGAUGGUAUUCGUGUUGAUGAUUCUAAGGUUGAAGCAAUCCGAGAAUGGACAACUCCGAAGACCAUUUCUGAGAUUUACAUCAAGAGGGAGAAUGCCGACAAUUGGAAUUCUGGAGCGGAAAUGAGCAAAUCUGAGAGACCUAUUCUGCACAACUCCAAAAGCCCUGAAAAUUUAUGGAGAAUUAUUUCGGAAUAUAUAAAAAUCAUUGGGCAAAGAAAUACCAGAGGGGUACCCACCAGGUGGCCACAAGCCUGGGGGUGUGCCCUACCCCCUGGGUGCACCCCUAGGGCUUGUGCCUCCCCUGGCAGGCCUCCGAUGCCCAUCUUAUGCUAUAUGGAGGCUUUUGACCUGGAAAAAAUCAAAAGGAAGCUUUGGGUACGAAGCGCCGCCGUCUCGAGGUGA
rnacentral:rRNA from 1 species